AAGUGGGCUUUGGUGCAGAGAGUCCGAGUGACACCCCACGUGGGCGGCGGCAAGCGCCGGUGGCGGCUGGAGAGGCGGUAGGAGCGGACGCCAGAGGCGGGAGCCUCGGCGUGAGGGCUCUCCCAUGUCGGCUGCUCGUGGCUAGAGCCGGAGGAGCUUGUUGCUAAGGGGUGAAAGAGAAGCUAUGCAGAAAUCAGAGUGCUCUGGAGGUGUGCAAUUGAGAAACAGAGCAACAGGUAGUAAUGAUCGCACAUCCUCAAGCACACAGGUGAAACACAGGACUGCAGUUCAGCGCAGCAAAUCCUCCUCCUUAACCAGUUCUCCAGAGGCUGCCAGACGGGCUCAUCCUCGGCCAAGCGAUAAACUCAACCCUAAAACCAUUAACCCUUUUGGUGAACAGCCACGGGCCCCUUCUGCAUUUGCAGCUAUUUACUCUCAAGGAGGCAUUCCUUGCAGGGUCUGAGGGAGACCAAGCAUCCUUAUACCUUUGUGUCAAAGGAAGGCUUUAGGGAGUUACUUCUGGUCAAGGAUGCUCCUGAAAAAGCUAUCCCUUUGCUACCUCGACUGAUCCCUGUGUUGAAGGCAGCUCUAGUUCACUCUGCUGAUGAAGUGUUUGAAAGAGGACUGAGCGCUCUCGUGCAACUGAGUGCGGUUGUUGGCCCGUCUCUGAAUGGCCAUCUGAAACUACUGCUUACA
rnacentral:lncRNA from 1 species